GGAAAGGAACCGAGACUCUCACGUGU
rnacentral:piRNA from 1 species